rnacentral:rRNA from 1 species
AUUGAACGCUGGCGGCAGGCCUAACACAUGCAAGUCGAACGAGUGGCGGACGGGUGAGUAAUGUCUGGGAAACUGCACGAUGGAGGGGGAUAACUACUGGACACGGUAGCUAAUAACGCAUACCAUCGGAUGUGCCCAGAUGGGAUUAGCUAGUAGGUGGGGUAACGUCUCACCUAGGAGACGAUCCCUAGCUGGUCUGGGAGGAGGACCAGCCACACUGGAACUGAGACACGGUCCAGACUCCUACGGGAGGCAGCAGUGGGGAAUAUUGCACAAUGGGCGCAAGCCUGAUGCAGCCAUGCCGCGUGUAUGAAGAAGGCCUUCGGGUUGUAAAGUACUUUCAGCGAGGAGGCGUUACUCGCAGAAGAAGCACCGGCUAACUCCGUGCCAGCCGCCGCGGUAAUUC